rnacentral:rRNA from 1 species
AUUGAACGCUGGCGGCAUGCCUUACACAUGCAAGUCGAACGGUAACAGGUUAAGCUGACGAGUGGCGAACGGGUGAGUAAUGUAUCGGAACGUGCCCAGUCGUGGGGGAUAACUACUCGAAAGGGUCGCUAAUACCGCAUACGACCUGAGGGUGAAAGCGGGGGACCGUAAGGCCUCGCGCGCUUGGAGCGGCCGAUAUCAGGUUAGCUAGUUGGUGGGGUAAAAGCCCACCAAGGCGACGAUCUGUAGCCGGUCUGAGAGGACGACCAGCCACACUGGGACUGAGACACGGCCCAGACUCCUACGGGAGGCAGCAGUGGGGAAUUUUGGACAAUGGACGCAAGUCUGAUCCAGCCAUGCCGCGUGCGGGAAGAAGGCCUUCGGGUUGUAAACCGCUUUUGUCAGGGAAGAAACGAGUUUCUCUAAUACAGAGACUUAAUGACGGUACCUGAAGAAUAAGCACCGGCUAACUACGUGCCAGCCGCCGCGGUAACAC